UACGUAGGGUGCGAGCGUUGUCCGGAAUUACUGGGCGUAAAGAGCUCGUAGGUGGUUUGUCGCGUUGUCCGUGAAAACUCACAACUCAAUUGUGGGCGUGCGGGCGAUACGGGCAGACUAGAGUACUGCAGGGGAGACUGGAAUUCCUGGUGUAGCGGUGGAAUGCGCAGAUAUCAGGAGGAACACCGGUGGCGAAGGCGGGUCUCUGGGCAUCUCCUGACGCUGAGGCGCGAAAGCGUGGGGAGCAAACGGG
rnacentral:rRNA from 1 species